CAAAAAUCCUCCGCUCCUCUCCCCAUCUAUCUCAACAGCACAAGUUGUGCUGAACACAAGUCGCGGGUUUCUUCCCCAACACCUCUGCCGGCUGGCGGCGGUAGGCGAUUCUCCGCCAUCUCUCCGAUUGCAGAUAUGACACGAAGUAAACUUCAUGUUGUUGAAUGCAAUGAUGAAUACAUGACGAAGGAACAUAUUGAACAUGAGAAUGCCAUGCGUAACGAUGCUGAUUCAUCUCAUAUUCAACCAUCAUCUUGUAAUGGCGAAGAAGGCUUGACUGAUAGUGAUGAUGAAGAGGACCAGGAUGACACUGUUGCUAAUGAACAAGAUGAAAAUGGAGAAACAACCAAGCGUGGCAGGACAAUGCUAAAAGAAAUAUGGAAUCUUCCAAAAGGGCAGAGAAUUGUGGUCCAGUGCAAUGAGCUAAACCAGCCAGUUGGAAAAGAAGCUGGACGUCUUGCGAAUUUUCUUGGCACGGUUGCUAGGAAUGGAAAAUUGUGUAGUUUGAGCUACAAGGACCGGAGAAAACUAACAUGAGAGAGAGAAAAAAAGACCAACGAACAAAGAAACAAAAGGGAUAUACUCGCGCAAGUAAAGAUGAGGUUUCUUUACCCUUCUCGCUUGGAAAAGUAUAUAUUAAAGAAAAUUGGAGAUAGAUGGAGGCAACAUAAGUCAGAUCUGAAAGCACUGUAUUUUGAUGCAAAUAAGAGCAUGGAAGCGAAUAACACCAAUGUUCCAAAGGGUGUGAUUAAGGAUCAAUGGAUUACUCUGGUCAAUAAUUGGAUGACCCCAAAGGCACAGGGGAUAAGUGAGAAAAAUAGGAACAACUGUGCGAUGAGGAAGUCGAAACACACGGCUAGAACUAAGAGUUUUCCACGAGUUAGAGAAGAGCUGAGACUAAAGGAUCCGGAAAAGAAGUACCCCCACAGGGCUGUCUUAUAUAUGCAUACCCAUCAGCAUAAAAGCGACAAGAAAAUGAAUGAACAAGUGGU